CCCUUAGACGUUCUGGGCCGCACGCGCGCUACACUGACGAAGGCAACGAGCUUUCCUUUACCGAAAGGUACGGGUAAUCUUUUGAAACUUCGUCGUGCUGGGGAUAGAUCCUUGCAAUUAUUGAUCUUAAACGAGGAGUUCCUAGUAAGCGCAAGUCAUCAACUUGCGUUGAUUACGUCCCUGCCCUUUGUACACACCGCCCGUCGCUACUACCGAUUGAAUGGUUUAGUGAGGCCUUCGGAUCCGCGACUCGUUUUGUGGAGAAGUUGGACAAACUCAGUCAUUUAGAGGAAGUAAAAGUCGUAACA
rnacentral:rRNA from 1 species